rnacentral:tRNA from 1 species
CCCUGGCUGGCUCAGUUGGUGGAGUCGGUGACUCCUGAUCACAGAGUUGUGAGUUCAAACCCCACGUUGGGUG